rnacentral:rRNA from 1 species
AACGAACGCUGGCGGCGUGCUUAAGACAUGCAAGUCGUACGGAAAGGCCCCCUUCGGGGGGUACUCGAGUGGCGCACGGGUGAGUAACGCGUGGGCAAUCUGCCUUAGGGUCUAGGACAA